GACAGAGGGUGCAAACGUUGCUCGGAAUUACUGGGCGUAAAGCGCGUGUAGGCGGGCUGGAAAGUCGGGUGUGAAAUCCCCAGGCUUAACCUGGGAACUGCAUUCGAGACUGCAUUGCUAGAGUAUGGGAGAGGGAAGUGGAAUUUCCGGUGUAGCGGUGAAAUGCGUAGAUAUCGGAAGGAACAUCAGUGGCGAAAGCGACUUCCUGGACCAAUACUGACGCUCAUGUGCGAAAGCGUGGGGAGCAAACAGG
rnacentral:rRNA from 1 species